rnacentral:rRNA from 1 species
UUAAAAGUAUAGCCUGCCCCCUGAGUAAUUAAAUGGCUGCGGUAAUUUGACCGUGCAAAGGUAGCAUAAUAACUAGUUUUUUAAUUGAAAGCUUGAAUGAAAGGCUGGACGAGGGAAUAACUGUCUCUAUUUAAUUUAAUUAGAAUUUUAUUUUUAAGUAAGAAAGCUUAAAUGAUUUUGAAAGACGAGAAGACCCUAUAGAAUUUUAUAUUUAUUAUAAUAUUAAGGUGUGAGGAAUAAUUGGUUUUGAUAUUUUAAUAAUUAUUUUAUUGGGGCGAUAAAAAAAUUUAAUUAACUUUUUUUAAAUUUAUCCAUUAAUUUAUGAGUAAGUGAUCCAUAUUUUAUGAAUAUAAGAUUAAAUUACCUUAGGGAUAACAGCGUAAUCUUUUUUAAGAGUUCUUAUCGAAAAAAAGGGUUGCGACCUCGAUGUUGGAUUAAAAU